AUACGUAGGGGGCGAGCGUUGUCCGGAAUGAUUGGGCGUAAAGGGCGCGUAGGCGGCUUUGCAAGUCAGUAGUGGAAGUCCAUUUUUCAAGGAUGGAAGUGCUACAGAAACUGCGGAGCUUGAGUGCAGGAGAGGUUAUCGGAAUUCCCGGUGUAGCGGUGAAAUGCGUAGAGAUCGGGAGGAACACCAGUGGCGAAGGCGGGUAACUGGACUGCAACUGACGCUGAGGCGCGAAAGUGUGGGGAGCAAACAGGAUUAGAUACCCUGGUAGUCCACACUGUAAACGAUGAAUGCUAGGUGUAGGAGGUAUCGACCCCUUCUGUGCCGCAGUAAACACAGUAAGCAUUCCGCCUGGGGAGUACGGUCGCAAGGUUGAAACUCAAAUGAAUUGACGGGG
rnacentral:rRNA from 1 species